rnacentral:rRNA from 1 species
AUUGAACGCUGGCGGCAGGCUUAACACAUGCAAGUCGAGCGAGCGGCGGACGGGUGAGUAAUGUCUGGGAAACUGCCUGAUGGAGGGGGAUAACUACUGGAAACGGUAGCUAAUACCGCAUACCAUCAGAUGUGCCCAGAUGGGAUUAGCUAGUAGGUGGGGUAAUGGCUCACCUAGGCGACGAUCCCUAGCUGGUCUGAGAGGAUGACCGGCGACACGGGAACGGAGACACGGUCACAACUCCUCCGGGGGGAAGCGGUGGGGAAUAUUGCAAAAGGUGCGCAAGCCUGAUGCAGCCAUGCCGCGUGUGUGAAGAAGGCCUUCGUGUUGUAAAGCCCUUUCAGCGAGGAGGCGUUACUCGCAGAGGAGGCACCGGCUAACUCCGUGCCAGCCGCCGCGGUAAUAC